GGAGGGAUGAUUACUCUUUCCGCUUUUAUUGCCAGUGUGUCAACGCCGGAGUGCUUAUCAUAAAGAGCAUAUAUUGGGAAGGGCAGUCGCUAAUCUCUCGUCUGAGCUCCAGCUACGGAGAGGCGGCUGCAUUGUUAUUAUUAAGAGUUUAAUUAUGCUGGCAUGCUCUGUUUUAGUAGUGGAGGUUUGCUCUGCCUGCAACAUAAUAAUUCCUUUCAUUUCCAAGACUUCUCUUGCCAGCUUCUCGUGCAUUCUCUUCUUCACUUUUCGUAGAAUCUCUUUCCGUCUUUCCGCUUUUCGUAGAUUCUCUUUCUGCCAUUCCGUGAAACGAGGAUGCAUGGCUUCGUUUUUUCGUUCUUAUAUAGCCUCUGGCCUUAUUUUUUGCCUCUGCGCCAUCUUCUUUGUCUUCUUCUCUUGCCGGCGUGUGUUAGCUUCUUCCAUUGUCUGUUGCUCUUGCCUUCAUCUAACUUGUGCUACUAUCUGUUUUUGUUCUUGUUGUCGUCCUCAUCAGCGUUGUUGUUGCUACUAUUACUCGAGUCAGGUACUUGUUUUGUUCUUUUUUUGCCAUUUUUUGAGCGUAUGUAUCUUUUUUCCGUCCGUUUUGCGGUUUAUUCCCUGUUUAGCUUGCUACUUUCCGAUUUUCUAUUGCUCAUCGCUUUUAUCGUGCUCUUCUGAGCUAUAGUUAUAUUCAUCAUCAUUACUGUCUCUUUUCUUUUAUUUUCCUUUCAGUUGUGGCCUGUUUACUUGGUCUUGUCAUUCAUUCGUAAAGACAUAUAUGUGUUGUGUAUUGCUUUUUGUCUGGUCCGUGGAAGGUUUUUUGCCUUUUGCCAGCUUUAUUUGGUAUCUUUUCUGCUGACUAUUCACCUUCCUUUGUAGCUUGUUGUUUGGUUUUUUUUAGCCUCCAUGGAAAAAUGCAUUGGAGUAACAAAAAAACUAAACGGCUAGCACGCCGCUGUGUCUUUGUCGACUUCGCUGCCUCAACUACAGCUUUGCUUGUUUUUCAUCAUGUUGUACAUUUUACGAGGAAUAUCCUAUCGUUCUUGUGAUCUGUUUUGAAGAAUUUCUUGCACUUGCUUCCCUGUUACUUCCUGUGUGGUGGAUGGUGUUUUCCUUUCAGGUCUUGUCGUUCCUGCUUUUGCCCUGCUGCCUCAGGUCUUUAUCAUUUUCAAGAAUUGAAGUGCCAUCUCACAUCGUUUCUCAGGCAACUUAUAUUUACAUAUGAACUAUAGUUAGUGCCUAUUCAAUUCCAGGCCCUUCUAAUCAAGCACCGUUGUAGCUAGAUAACUAACUAUAAGAGAAGGGUAUAGAACAUGGCUUAUCCAACUUCGUCGGCAGUCAUUCGCUGAAGGAUGGCAGGAGUUUUGCCGCAGCAACAUCAUCAAGGAAAACUACUUUUUCUUGCUUCGACAUUCUGGUCACCUAAUUUUCGACGUCAUCCAUUUUUGCGAGGACAAAAAACAAGUAUACAUGCCAUGGACAAAUCCUCUACCUAAUAUAUUGCAUUCACAUCCAUCCCUUGAGUUAGGAAGUUGAGGGUUAACUGCUUUUGUUUUGUAUCAGCCCAUUUGUAUUUUUUAAUUUUUUUUGCCUCAUGCGAUUGUCCUUUAAUUUCCAGGUGAUAUGAAGCAAAAAAUGAUACGGCAGCGAGUGUCAUCAUCAAUGAGGCCUGAUUUCGUACAAACUUUAACCGAAGGCAUGUGUUUCUGUCAAUUCAUUGACAAACAGAAUCGGCAUAACUUUUCCCAAGGUUUGUUGCUCAGUUCGUCCAUAGUAGCAAGACUCCUUCGAUUACUCUGAGGACUGGAAACAAAACAAUAACUAUUACAAUGCGUGGAAGGCAGUUUACUGACAACUGGAACAUCUUUGUGGCAGAGCACCAACUGCAGUUUCGAGAAGUUUUGGUCUUUGUUCCUGAAUCCAUUACUACCUACACUGUUCUAAUCUAUGAUAGACAUGGUGCAGAAAAACACUUCCCAUGGUAUGAUAGCUUUUAUGUGUAUUCUACCAUGGGAGAUGCGGCAACUUGGUUGUAUUCUAUUGGCUUUUCUAACCAACGUUUGGUUUGAAAACUCCAUCUAUUCCUCUAUUAUCCAUUUUUGUAUGUUCAUCCGUAUGUACACUGUGCAUCCCUAAAAAAUGAUGGGCUUGUUUGGAA